rnacentral:sRNA from 1 species
UAUAUGAGCAACUGCCGAAGACAGUAGGUGCUGUAAAGCGUAAGGUUUCAAACGCCUACCGAGGAGAGUCAGAUUUUAUACAUGUGUAUGGAUUUGUGAACCUCUGCGUCUUUGGAUGCGGAGGUUUUUUAUUAUCU